AGAAAAUCGUAAUAUAUUCUCUCCCAAUAUUUUCCAUCAUAUUAGUGAAGAUUUGACAAGACCCGGACCACGAAAACCUAAGAUGGUGGAGAAGAAAGGUUGCUUCUAGGGUUUCUUCAAGUUGUGGAGUUUAGGGAGUUGAAGUUGAAGUGAUUCUUGGGAUUCUUGACCCCUCAAGAUUUACAAGUUGAGAAGUAGGAGUCGGACGAUUUGAUAUACGUCAAGGUACGUUAAGGCUACGGUGUGGUCCAGCUCAGUAGGACCUCUAGAUCUAGCAGUGGUCAGUACGCUCCAUUCGAUCCGGAGCUAUAGUCAGUUUUAGUAUGCC